rnacentral:rRNA from 1 species
GAUGAACGCUGGCGGCGUGCCUAACACAUGCAAGUCGAGCGAACGGACGAUAAGCUUGCGUCUCUGAUGUUAGCCGCGGACGGGUGAGUAACACGUGGAUAACCUCCCUAUAAUACUGGGAUAACUUCGGGACACCGGCGCUAAUACCGGAUAAUAUUUUGAACCGCAUGGUUCAAAAGUGAAAGACGGUCUUGCUGUCACUUAUAGAUGGAUCUGGGCUGCAUUAGCUAGUUGGUAAGGUAACGGCUUACCAAGGCAACGAUGCAUAGCCGACCUGAGAGGCGGAUAGGCCACACGGGAAGUGAGCCGCCGUCCAGACUCCUAAGGGAGGCAGCAGUAGGCAAUCUGCCGCAAUGGGCGAAAGCCUUACGGAGCAAGCCCGCGUGAGAGAUGAAGGUCUUCGGAUCGUGAAACUCUGUUAUUAGGUAAGAACAUAUGUGUAAGUAGCUGUGCACAGCUUGACGGUACCUAAUAAGAAAGCCACGGCUAACUACGUG